UAUGGUAAUUGCCGCCGCGGUAAUACGUAGGGGGCAAGCGUUAUCCGGAAUUACUGGGUGUAAAGGGUGCGUAGGUGGUAUGGCAAGUCAGAAGUGAAAACCCAGGGCUUAACUCUGGGACUGCUUUUGAAACUGUCAGACUGGAGUGCAGGAGAGGUAAGCGGAAUUCCUAGUGUAGCGGUGAAAUGCGUAGAUAUUAGGAGGAACAUCAGUGGCGAAGGCGGCUUACUGGACUGAAACUGACACUGAGGCACGAAAGCGUGGGGAGCAAACAGG
rnacentral:rRNA from 1 species